rnacentral:misc_RNA from 1 species
AUUUCAUCAACAUUAAUUAGACAAGACAAAUGCUACUCUUCAAUUGUUGGCUGACAUAACUCUGGAAAUAUGCUAAAAACAACAAAAAAAGAAAAGGUGAUUUCUGUUCAAUUCUCUUUGCUAGUGCCAAAUAGUGUAUCAAAAUUCAUUCUACUAUGAAUUACCUAAAGAGGAGAAGCCGCGUAAAAUACGCGAAAAAUCAGGGAAAAGACCAGAAAAGAAAGAUGCAGAAUAGUUAGAUAAACAGUAUUCAACACCAAUAAUGUUAAAUUCAAUUGUAUGGCACAAAAUUCUCUGUUAUAUUACUUAAGACUUCAGCUGCAAGAUAUGAAUAUAAAUAUAAAUAUUUUCACUAUAUAUGUGCCUUCUUAUUUAUUCCAAACAAGAUAGGAAUAAACAAUGACAUGUUGACAUUACUAAA